GUUCACACAUGGGUGGGCCAAUUUGGCGACGGCGGAGCCGGACGGCGGUCUCAAGCUCCGUUUAUGAUCUGUCGCUUCCGCUGCGUAAGCAAUCGACAAACCCUUGAGGGAGUCUCAUCGAGAUUCUUUCGGCGUUGCGUUUGAUCGUUCUAAGAAGCGGGCUCCAACAGUCUCGGUGUGGACUCUUUGAGUUGUGGGUUUCUUGGAUGGGGUUUCGUUACCGUCCCCUUUUGAUUUCCGGAGCAGCCGAGGCUUUGUCGGAGUUGAUCGUCUGGAUGGAUUUCAGUUCUGAGACUUGUGCACCGUAGGGUUUCUUGAACUGACCACAUUAAUGACGAUACUCUUCUCGAAUGGAUUUAUUUGGCGUUUCUGUUGAUGACGGUGCACGCCAAAAGAUUAUAUCAUCGGACUAUACCAUUGAUCCGAGUACACAUGGAGAGGAUGAGCCUUGGUAUUGCGGUUACUUUCCUCCUUGACAAGAUGGAUUACCAAGAUUCGAGUCAUAGAAACAGUGUUUCUGCUUAUAAGGCAUGGGGUCUACGCCAACGGACAUCUCAGUGUUGCCCAACAUACAUGUGUGUGUUUUUGGUAAAGUGUUAGUCCCUUAUGCAUAGAAUAUUAUGAUAUGUUCAACAUGGGGCCGCAUGACAGUCCGUGAUGCAAGUGUUGAGUUACCUAGCAGUUAUAGGUGGGAUUUGUGGAUACUGGAUCACAUUCUUUCUCUAGUAACAAGAUAAUUAUUGCAGGCCACCAUGUCAUCUGAUAGAACAGACCUUGGCUUCAUUGCCAUCUCAUACUCGAGAUUUCCUCUGGUUGCUUCUCCAGAGAAGCUCUACAAAAUCUUCGAAAGGUGUCAGAAAAAGCUUCUUUGCUAAUCACAGGUUCUUCGACGUAUUAAAGAGUAACCGCUUGUCGGUGUGAUGAAAGACCUCCUUUUAUAGGUUGUCAUUUAAGCACUGCUAUAAAUAUAUAUACAUAUUUCAUCAUGUGAGCGGUGUGAUUUUAAUCCUUUGUUUCUGUUCUCGUGUCGCUGUAGCAGCUAUUAAUCCCUUCAGACGUUGACCAAUAAUGAGGUCUUGUUGCCCACUAUGUUUCGUGCCAUAAAUCGUGUUCUUAAGUAAUAUGUCGAUGUCAUGUAUACACUAUUUAAGGUCCAACCCAUGGUCUCGGUCA